GACGAACGCUGGCGGCGUGCUUAACACAUGCAAGUCGAACGGAAAGGCCCUGCUUUUGUGGGGUGCUCGAGUGGCGAACGGGUGAGUAACACGUGUGUAACCUGCCCUUCACUUUGGGAUAACUUCAGGAAACUGGGGCUAAUACCGUAUAGGAGCUCCUGCUGCAUUGUGGGCGUUGGAAAUUUUCGGCGGUUGGGGAUGGACUCGCGGCUUAUCAGCUUGUUGGUGGGGUAGUGGCUUACCAAGGCUUUGACGGGUAGCCGGCCUGAGAGGGUGACCGGCCACAUUGGGACUGAGAUACGGCCCAGACUCCUACGGGAGGCAGCAGUGGGGAAUAUUGCACAAUGGGCGGAAGCCUGAUGCAGCAACGCCGCGUGCGGGAUGACGGCCUUCGGGUUGUAAACCGCUUUCGCCUGUGACGAAGCGUGAGUGACGGUAAUGGGUAAAGAAGCACCGGCUAACUACGUG
rnacentral:rRNA from 1 species